AUAUCAAUAAGCGGAGGAAAAGAAACCAACAGGGAUUGCCCUAGUAACGGCGAGUGAAGCGGCAACAGCUCAAAUUUGAAAUCUGGCCCCCUCGGGGUCCGAGUUGUAAUUUGCAGAGGAUGCUUCGGCGUUGGCCCCGGGUCAAGUCCCCUGGAACGGGGCGUCCAAGAGGGUGAGAGCCCCGUACUCACCCGGGUGCCCAGCGCCUCGUGAAGCUCCUUCGACGAGUCGAGUUGUUUGGGAAUGCAGCUCUAAGUGGGAGGUAAAUUUCUUCUAAAGCUAAAUACUGGCCAGAGACCGAUAGCGCACAAGUAGAGUGAUCGAAAGAUGAAAAGCACUUUGGAAAGAGAGUUAAAAAGCACGUGAAAUUGUUGAAAGGGAAGCUCUUGCCGCCAGACUUGCCGCGGUUGCUCAGCCGCCCUCCGGGGCGGUGUACUCUUCCGCAGGCAGGCCAGCGUCGGUUCGGGCGGCCGGAUAAAGGCCCCGGGAAUGUAGCACCCUCCGGGGUGUGUUAUAGCCCGGGGCGCAAUGCGGCCAGCCCGGUCCGAGGGACGCGUUCGCGAGGACGUUGGCGUAAUGGCUGCAAGCGACCCGUCUUGAAACACGGACCAAGGAGUCUAACAUCUGUGCGAGUGUUUGGGUGUCAAACCCAUGCGCGUAAUGAAAGUGAACGGAGGUGGGAACCCCCUCGAGGGGCGCACCAUCGACCGAUCCUGAUGUCUUCGGAUGGAUUUGAGUAAGAGCAUAGCUGUUGGGACCCGAAAGAUGGUGAACUAUUCCCGGAUAGGGUGAAGCCAGAGGAAACUCUGGUGGAGGCUCGCAGCGGUUCUGACGUGCAAAUCGAUCGUCAAAUCUAGGAAUAGGGGCGAAAGACUAAUCGAACCAU
rnacentral:rRNA from 1 species